AGCAAAAGUGACCUGACCCGCCGGCCACCGCGCUACCCCAUUACUCGACUGGUUCCGCUCGUGGCGGCCGCCGCCGCCGCCAUCCUCCUGCCGUUUCUGGCUACUCUCACAAUCACCAGGCGCUGGCCUCUCGUGUGCACGAGCGCACGCCAUGCUCAGGCGCCUAUCCAAGAGUCCAUUGCUCCCGCGCCGGCGGCUCCUCCUCCUCCUCCUCCUCCAGCCCCGCCGCCCCUGCGCCAACGCAACACCCUCGGCGGCCGCCGGGGAGAUCGCGCCGGCUCCCGCCACGAAUGAGGUUCCCCUCGGAGAUGACCUCGCGGAGGAGUCGCGCAGCCGCCUCGUGCGGGACACCUGCCGGCUGCUCGAGCUCCGGGACUCGUGGAACGCGAAGCGGGAGGCGCAGCUCCGGCACCUCCUCCGCGUGCUCUCCCCGCCGCAGGUCCGCGCGGUGCUGCGCGCGCAGGCGCAGCGGGACGCCCGCGCCGCGUUCGAGUUCUUCCGCUGGGCCGACCGCCAGUGGAAGUACCGCCACGCCCCGGAGGUGUUCGACGAAAUGCUGGCGCUCCUCAGCCGCACCAGGCUCCACGACCCGGCGCGCCGCGUCAUGCGCCUCAUGAUCCGCCGGGGCAUGCGGCGGGGGCCGCAGCAGUUCGCACACCUCAUGCUGUCCUACAGUCGCGCGGGGAAGCUCCGUUCCGCCAUGCGCGUGCUCCAGCUCAUGCAGAAGGAUGGGUGUGCGCCCGACAUAUCUAUAUGCAACGUGGCGGUGAACGUGCUUGUCGUGGCUGGCCGCGUCGACAAGGCGCUCGAAUUUGCCGAAAGGAUGCGGCGUGUUGGGGUUGACCCGGACGUAGUCACGUACAAUUGCCUGAUCAAAGGAUUGUGUGGAGCUCGGCGGGUCAUUGAUGCACUGGAGAUGAUCGGUUCGAUGCUGCAAAAUGGGUGUCCACCAGAUAAGAUCAGCUACUUUACAGUGAUGAGCUUCUUGUGCAAGGAGAAGAGGGUGGCAGAGGUGCGGAAUUUACUUGAGAGGAUGAGGAAUGAUGCAGGUCUAUUUCCAGAUCAGGUCACGUAUAACAUGCUUAUUCAUGUUCUUGCAAAGCAUGGUCAUGCAGAUGAAGCAUUGGGGUUCCUGAGGGAGUCAGAGGGGAAAAGAUUCCGUGUUGAUGAAGUUGGUUAUAGUGCGAUUGUGCACUCAUUUUGCUUGAACGGUAGGAUGGCAGAGGCAAAGGAAAUUGUAAGCGAGAUGAUUUCAAAAGGGUGCCACCCUGAUGUUGUAACAUAUAGUGCAGUUGUUGAUGGAUUCUGCCGGACUGGGGAACUCGAUCAAGCAAGAAAGAUGAUGAAGCAUAUGUAUAAGAGUGGUUGCAAGCCAAAUACAGUCACACAUACUGCACUGUUAAAUGGGCUUUGCAAAGUCGGAAAGACUUCAGAAGCAUGGGAAUUGCUAAACAAGAGCGAAGAGGAAUGGUGGACUCCCAGUGAUAUCACAUACAGUGUUGUUAUGCAUGGAUUUAGGAGGGAAGGGAAGUUAAAGGAAUCAUGUGAUGUGGUAGUGCAGAUGUUGCAGAAGGGUUUCUUCCCCACAACUGUGGAGAUUAACUUAUUGAUUCAUGCUUUAUGCAAGGAAGGAAAGCCAGCAGAGGCCAAAGACUUCAUGCAGCAGUGCCAAAGCAAGGGCUGCUCCAUUAAUGUUGUUAACUUCACAACUGUAAUUCAUGGAUUUUCUCGCCAGGGUGAUUUGGAAUCGGCGCUCUCUUUACUGGAUGACAUGUAUCUGACCAACAGGCAUCCUGAUGUUGUUACGUACACUGUUGUUGUCGAUGCUCUAGGAAAGAAAGGUAAAAUGAAAGAAGCCACAGAUCUUGUUCAGAAAAUGCUUAAAAGAGGUUUGCUCCCUACACCUGUCACAUACAGGACGGUGAUACAUAGAUAUUGUGAAAGGGGUAAAGUUGAAGAGUUACUCAUUCUGCUGGAUAAGAUGUUAGCAAGGCAAGAGUUUAGUAGUGCGUACAAUCAAGUUAUUGAGAAGCUAUGUGCAUUUGGUAAACUUAGUGAGGCUUAUAAUCUUCUCAGCAAGGUACUAAGAACUGCAUCAAAAAGAGAUGCUCAAACAUGCCACGUUUUGAUAGAGGGGUUUCUGAAUAGAGGACUGCCACUCCAAUCAUAUAAUGUGGCCUGCCGCAUGUUCCAGAGAAACUUAAUUCCUGAUCUUAAGUUAUGUCAGAAUGUUGAAAGUAAGCUGGCCCUAGCGGGAGAGACACAAGCAGCUGGAAAGCUUAUCAUUAAGUUUGUUGAAAGAGGACCAUUACAUGGCCUUGUACCUUGUACAGAGAUUUGUGCUCAGGGCUCAUGGCAUGAGUCUUAUAUUACAGUAACAUGUCAGCAACUCCUCCGGAGCUGGAUAUCUAUGCAACUUGAUGUCACUACCAGAUCUUCAACUUUGUGACCGGUGAGCAUGAGUGAUGAUAUUUUUUUUGUUGAACUGCAACUGCAACUUCAAGCUGUCCAAUGAAAGUUAGCGCAUAAUCUUUUUAUUUGAUCUGUCCUUUCUUUAUUUGAAACACAGAGAGAUGGAAACAAUAGGGACAGCUCUACUGGAAAUAUGACCAUUUCUGUCAACCCUGUUGUUGUUCAGGCUUGCAGUACUUGAAAAUACUGCUGUAUAGUUCACCUACAUAGUUACACCCAUAUUCUGGUGACUGGAGGGAUAUAAUGUAGUAAUAAGGCCAACACUUGAAGUUGAGUCCAUUUCCUUGUGAAAUAUUAUGAUAAACUGAUCAGUAGGUUUCAUGGCACCAGUAAUUUUCUUUGAACUGGUAGGUUACUAAGGCCCUCUCCUAAGCUGUGACGCCACUUGCUAUUCACACUUCACCACUUCCACCAUUCCACAAACCUCUUCAGCCAGCAAGUUGACUGGUAGCUGUGCCCCCAGGAAGAACUCGUGGAGGGGACAAUGGGGGUGAAGGCAGCAAUGUGAUGGCACGGUUGCUGGACAUCAAGGAUUCGUCGGGUGCUUCGGAGGAGCAGCUGCAGCGAGGUCUUGUACCAUGGGCGUGCUAGCACAGCUGACAGCGUGGGAGGCAGGCAACCUGUGGCGCAUCUCAUGGGCAUCUAUCCUCAUCACGCUCUUCAGCUUCACACUCAGCCUCAUCACACAGAUGUUUGUGGGACACCUCAGUGAGCUUGAGCCUGCCGGUGCAUCGAUCGG